rnacentral:tRNA from 1 species
GGUUAGCUCAGCAGGUAGAGCACCAGACUCAGAAUCUGGACGUCGCGGGUUCGACUCCCGUACC